rnacentral:rRNA from 1 species
UAGAGAGAAGCUUGCUUCUCUUGAGAGCGGCGGACGGGUGAGUAAUGCCUAGGAAUCUGCCUGGUAGUGGGGGAUAACGUUCGGAAACGGACGCUAAUACCGCAUACGUCCUACGGGAGAAAGCAGGGGACCUUCGGGCCUUGCGCUAUCAGAUGAGCCUAGGUCGGAUUAGCUAGUUGGUGAGGUAAUGGCUCACCAAGGCGACGAUCCGUAACUGGUCUGAGAGGAUGAUCAGUCACACUGGAACUGAGACACGGUCCAGACUCCUACGGGAGGCAGCAGUGGGGAAUAUUGGACAAUGGGCGAAAGCCUGAUCCAGCCAUGCCGCGUGUGUGAAGAAGGUCUUCGGAUUGUAAAGCACUUUAAGUUGGGAGGAAGGGUUGUAGAUUAAUACUCUGCAAUUUUGACGUUACCGACAGAAUAAGCACCGGCUAACUCUGUGCCAGCAGCCGCGGUAAUACAGAGGGUGCAAGCGUUAAUCGGAAUUACUGGGCGUAAAGCGCGCGUAGGUGGUUUGUUAAGUUGGAUGUGAAAUCCCCGGGCUCAACCUGGGAACUGCAUUCAAAACUGACUGACUAGAGUAUGGUAGAGGGUGGUGGAAUUUCCUGUGUAGCGGUGAAAUGCGUAGAUAUAGGAAGGAACACCAGUGGCGAAGGCGACCACCUGGACUAAUACUGACACUGAGGUGCGAAAGCGUGGGGAGCAAACAGGAUUAGAUACCCUGGUAGUCCACGCCGUAAACGAUGUCAACUAGCCGUUGGAAGCCUUGAGCUUUUAGUGGCGCAGCUAACGCAUUAAGUUGACCGCCUGGGGAGUACGGCCGCAAGGUUAAAACUCAAAUGAAUUGACGGGGGCCCGCACAAGCGG